AAGAAGGCAGUUCUUGCUUCUGAUUUGAAACACAAACAUAAAAUAAUUUCUCCAUCCCCGGGUUACAGGGCGUUGGGUACUCGUGGCACCAGCGCAGAAUGGGAAGGUGGUGACUUGCCCAGCAACUGCUUGUCCCAGCCCCAGCCCCAGCCUCCAGCCACUUGGAAGGGAGCCUGCAGGGGAGGGGAGUGGGCAGGCUUCAGGCUUGUACCUUAUAAGCCUCUCUCUUUGCUGUCUCUUUAAGGCUGAAAUGAGAACCUGAUUGUCAAUGACAUGACAAAAAGGUAUUCACAAGUUUCUUUAUGUUUUGAAUAAUUGUUUCCUGUUUUGCUCAGCAGAACAAGUAAUUAAGAUGACAUUUGUGAGUACUAAUUUGGAUCACACUUAUGUGUAUGUGUUAUAAAGCUGCAAGCCAAAACAUGCAAACCCAGCCUUUCAUGGAGGAGAGAAUGAAAAAAUACUGAGUGAAAUGGGAGCAUGGGAAACUCGGAGGAGCUGAACAUCGAUUAGAGGACGGAGGCUGGAUAACUUUGUGGAAAGUUCCUCUGUGGAUCAUUUUUAUCUUGGCCAAGUUGCAGCUUCAGAACCCGGUCUGGGCUCUGACCGUGCGGUCAUCUCUCUGUAUCGUAAUGGUGAGUCAGGGGCUCUCCAGAAUCAAAGCCACUCACAGCCCACCUGCCCUGGAACCUCCAAGGCAAGGGCCACGGAGAGACGUGAGUCA